UAUGCAGCCCGACUUGAGCGGAAAUCCUUUUUUUGCUUGUACAAAAUUUCUAUUUAAUAUCAAAUGGUUCUGCAAAAAAAGAUUGGGAGCGGAAGACGGAAAUAGCU
rnacentral:sRNA from 1 species